AUGAUGGAGAGUUUGAUCCUGGCUCAGAACGAACGCUGGCGGCGCGUCUUAAGCAUGCAAGUCGAACGGCAAGAUGGGAGCUUGCUCCUAUCCUAGAGUGGCGAACUGGUGAGUAACACGUGGGUGAUGCACCCACCGGCUGGGGAUAGCCGGUAGAAAUACCGGGUAAUACCGAAUAAGAACAUCUGGAGUAGAAGCCAGGUGAGGAAAGGAGCCUCGUGCUCCACCGGUGGAGCGGCCCGCGGCCCAUUAGCUAGUUGGAGGGGUAAUGGCCCACCAAGGCAAUGAUGGGUAUCCG
rnacentral:rRNA from 1 species